GUGGUUCACCUGCAGUAGAAAUUCAUGGUUCAUCAGAUAUGGCCUAGUUGUUAGGGGUUCGAAAUGUGUUCAGACAGGGGAUAUUAAAUGUUCAGUGCGUUCUGUUUUAAGCAUUCUUUUGGCUACUGGUUAGCACACUGAAAUUUGCCAUUUUUUCGUACCAACCUGAGGGACAAUUUUUCACAACACACACGAUUGUUUGAAAGUCGAUUUUUCACUAGACGUCAUUUGGAUGUGCAGUUUCUAUCUUUAGCCCCCAGUCCUACAGUGUGCCAAAAUAGACAGUUGAAAAAGUUUGCUCAUUGUGCUAAUCUGCACAAUGCCAGAUUCAUGACUAAAAAAGUCUCUUAUUGCAACGAAAUAUUUCGUUGCAAUAGAUUCUACCGGACUACACAGUAUUAAAAGACUCUUCUCUUAAGGAAAUUUGUAGAUGUGGACUUUCUUUAGAUAUGACUCUAAUCGUAAAUAUUUUCCUGCUUCUUGGAACAAGGAACAUAGAAACAUAGGAUGUCUUGAUGCCAAACAAGUGUCAUUUGAAAGAUUGUAAAAAGAUUUUUAAAGUGUUUGAAAAAUCUUUAAUCAUGUUAAUAAAGUGACUUUUGCAGGAAAAACCUAAAGCUGGAGGAUCAUACAUUUUGUUUCUUGUUGUUUAAGUCAGAGAACAAUGCGUGGCAUCUGAUUUCUAGCCCUGGAAACCCCAGGUGCCCUUCUGCUUCAACAAGGCUAUAAAGCAAUUAUAAUUUCAGGAGGUAAAGAUUGAAUCCAAAAACAAAUCACAGACAAUUUUUAGUUGGCUUUUCUGCUUAAUGUAUUGUUACCCUUAACUUUUGGAAACAUGGAAAUGUAUACGUAUGUUCAGGGUCAAGUUAAUGAAAAGUUGAGCCAAAAAUGAAUUUUACAUUACCUUUGAACAGUUCCCAAUUUAGUUUACGCGAUGGAUGCCCCACUAUACGACCCAGCAAUUUUUACUUGUGGUCUCCCAAAACCGGUAAUUUGUUACGCAUGCAAUUACUCAACAAGGAAUUAGGUGGAACGGUGGAGAGAAAAGAUGUUCGCGAAGAUGGGCAAUUCGAGAUUCAAGUAGAAACGGGAGUGCCAAUUGUUUAAAGGCUUAGAGACUCGGGAAAUGGUACCACUCCUUUGUCGUUGUUUCGGACUGUUCUGAUGGACAGUGAAGACUCAUCAUAACGAUUCCGAAAUGGUUCGUCAAUUGCGCCUACACGGCCAUGUAGUAGAACCUCUUAAAGACUUCCAUAAAGAUGAAGUGAGAGCUUUAGGUCGCGAGCUGGGUCUGCCCGCAGAAUUACUGGAACGUCAUCCGUUUCCUGGUCUCGGUUUGUCAAUUCGAAUUAUUUGAGCCGAAGAACCGUUCAUGGAUGCUGAUUUCGGUGAAACGCAAGUGCUGAUUCGUCUGAUGGUCGAUUAUGCCUACAUGGCAGCCAAGGAACAUGCCUUGCUCAAUCGGAUUGAAAUCGCGACGUCGGAACAAGAGCAACGUCGGAAGAAAAGCGUUUUCUUCUGGAAGAACUGUCCAGUCGAAGAAAGCUACUUCCACAUCACCGUUGGUCGCUGCUUACGCGAAGAUAAAAUAUUAACAUUUUUACAAAUUAAAGUGCAUAUCUGGGCUCCCUUCUUUUCUGUGGCCCCGUUUCCCCUUGACUUAUGAUAAGCCCGUAGGGGGUCAUGCCCCUACUGUGAUCAGCAGCAAAGGUUGUGAGUGCGC